rnacentral:rRNA from 1 species
GACAGCAGCCAUAUCACCCUGCAACUCACAAGCUCAGCAGGUGUGAGUCUGGUCAGUACCUGGAUGGGAGACUUCCAGGGAAAAACUAAGGUUGCUGCUGGAA